GGUGACAUCGUCUAGUGGUAUGAUGCGUGUUUCGGGUACGCGCGGCCUGGGUUCGAAUCCCAGUGUUGCCA
rfam:Anncaliia algerae PRA109 cont4.4317, whole genome shotgun sequence.